AACGAACGCUGGCGGCAGGCCUAACACAUGCAAGUCGAGCGAAGCCUUCGGGCUUAGCGGCGGACGGGUGAGUAACGCGUGGGAACGUGCCCUUUGGUACGGAAUAGCCCCGGGAAACUGGGAGUAAUACCGUAUGUGGUCGAGAGACGAAAGAUUUAUCGACAAAGGAGCGGCCCGCGUUGGAUUAGGUAGUUGGUGGGGUAAUGGCCUACCAAGGCGACGAUCCAUAGCUGGUUUGAGAGGAUGAUCAGCCACACUGGGACUGAGACACGGCCCAGACUGCUACGGGAGGCAGCAGUGAGGAAUCUUAGACAAGGGGGGAAACCCGGAUCUAGCCAUGCCGCAUGAUCGAUGAAGGCCUUAGGGUUGUAAAGAUCUUUCAGUGGGGAAGAUAAUGACUGUCCCCACAGAAGAAGCCCCGGCUAACUCCGUGCCAGCCGCCGCGGUAACAC
rnacentral:rRNA from 1 species